UUUUGGAAACGUAAAGGUGCUAAGGUGCAGGCUCCCAGUUGCAAGAUCUUUAAUUUGAAAUUACAUCUUUAAUCGACCUGACCCAGAAAUUUAUCACCAUCGGACAAAAAUGAAUAUAAAAUUAUUUUUAAAAUA